GACGAACGCUGGUGGCGUGCUUAACACAUGCAAGUCGAACGGUAAGGCCUUUCGGGGUACACGAGUGGCGAACGGGUGAGUAACACGUGGGUGAUCUGCCCUGCACUUCGGGAUAAGCCCGGGAAACUGGGUCUAAUACCGGAUAGGACUGCGCGGUGCAUGCCGUGUGGUGGAAAGAUUUAUCGGUGCAGGAUGGGCCCGCGGCCUAUCAGCUUGUUGGUGGGGUAAUGGCCUACCAAGGCCACGACGGGUAGCCGGCCUGAGAGGGCGACCGGCCACACUGGGACUGAGACACGGCCCAGACUCCUACGGGAGGCAGCAGUGGGGAAUAUUGCACAAUGGGCGCAAGCCUGAUGCAGCGACGCCGCGUGAGGGAUGACGGCCUUCGGGUUGUAAACCUCUUUCAGCAGGGACGAAGCGUGAGUGACGGUACCUGCAGAAGAAGCACCGGCCAACUACGUG
rnacentral:rRNA from 1 species